AUUCAGCGGACGAAUCCGAAAUAGGGUGAAACGCGCGUCUUGGAU
rfam:Schistosoma margrebowiei strain Zambia genome assembly, scaffold: SMRZ_contig0006598